GGAGAGGUGUCCGAGCGGUUUAAGGAGCACGCCUGGAAAGUGUGUGUGCGCCAAAAGCGCACCGAGGGUUCGAAUCCCUCCCUCUCCGCCA
rnacentral:tRNA from 1 species